AUUGAACGCUGGCGGCAUGCCUAACACAUGCAAGUCGAACGGCAGCAUAGAGCUUAUUGCUUCUUGGGUGGCCAGCGGGGAGCGGGCGGGCCAUAUAUCUGAACGAACCGAGGGAAGGGGGAUAACUAACCGAAAGAUAACCUAAUACCGAAUAUUUUUUGAGGAGGAAAGAAGGGGAGCUGCGGGCCUUGCGUUAUUCGAUCGGCCGAGAUCUAAUUGGCUAGUUGUUGGGGUAUAGGCCGGCCAAGCCGCCGAACGGUAACGGGCCUGAGAGGAUGAUCCGCCAGACUGGCACUGAGACACGGCCCAGACACCGACGGGAGGAAGCAGUGGGGAAUUUUGGACAAUGGGGGCAAGCCUGAUCCAGCCAUGCCGCGUGUCUGAAGAAGGCCUUCGGCUUGUAAAGGACUGUUGUCAGGGAGGAAGAGACGGUUGCUAAUAUCGGCAGCUGAUGACGGUACCGGAAGAAUAAGCACCGGCUAACUACGUG
rnacentral:rRNA from 1 species